AUUAAAUCCUGUCAAAUUUUUUUAAAAAAAAGUGUGUACCUUCCAAUAUUGUUUUAAAUUUCCAUGUGAAUCCUUCUGAAUCUAGCAGUUCCUGGAUACCAGGAGAAGUUAAAAAAAAAAUCUUUCUGAAUUUUUAAGAACAUACAGUAUUUGGGUCAUUAGGGAAGUCAGAAUUUUAUGAGUUGUGACAGUGACGCAGUAUACAAAGAGAAGAGAGCAUGACCUAGGAGGCCAAGGAAGUACAAUUAUGCUGCUGUCUUAAGGGAACCCCCAUCUUCUGUCACAAGUGCUGUGUGUGAGAGAAUCUUAAAAUGUGCAGACAGCAGACGUGAUAAACAAGACAAGAAUUAAACAGCUAUAGAAUAUAGCAUUAUUCCAGCUUUUAAUGAAUUAAGCCUUGGUUUUUCAGUACUAUAAGGGCCAAACUUCCUGCAAAAAUGCACGUGGGCUCAUUUAGGAGUCAAUGACCUGGUGUGGGAGGUCCUUCUGUCUGUGUGUCCAGGAACAAACAAGUGACCUCCUACAACAAUGACCUUUGAGAAUGUCACUGGGACUUCAACUGGAGGAGUGGGCUGUCCCAGAAGAACCUCUAUAAAGAGAGGAUGCAGGAAAACUUGAGGAAGCUGGCCUCUGGAGCUGCCCUCAAAUCAAGUUGCAGACCAUUCAGUGAAGACAUAUUCAGAAAUUUUCACAGCUCAUGAAACCAACAUUUCUACUAGUAAGUCAUUAACAAGAAAAAUGCAAUGCACCUUUGCUUUCUUGUGGCAGUCAACUGGUGGAGAAACUCUGGGAUCCGGAAAAGAUUAUCAGCAUCCAAGAAUCUUCAACUUCUCUACUGAGGGGCACAGAUCAUGUGACGAUCAGGAAUACAGAAAGAAACUGUAUAAAAAUAAGCACUGUGAUGAAGACUUCAGAACGGUGAAAAUUAUGAAAGGACUUCCACUGGAGAAAUAUGUAAGCAAUAUGGGAAAAUUCUCAGUUCUUUGGGGUCUUUUCAAAAUUUUGAAUAACGUUACCCUGCCCAGAAAUUCCAUGCAUGUAUGUCACCAAUGUGGGAAAGCCUUCACUCAUUCCUAUAACCUACAAAGACAUGAUAGAAUUCAAACUGGAGAGAAACUUUUUGCAUGUAAACAACUUGAAAAAAAUUUCUUUUUAUACUUCAUAUCUUGUGACAGGAUCUACCAUGGAGAAAAGCCCUCCACAUGUAAGCAUUGUGGGAAAGCCUUAAUUACUUCUACUCCCCUUCAAAUACAUAAACUCACACUAGAGAAAAGCCUUGCAUAUGUAAACAGUGUGGGAAAGCUUUCUUGUUGUCAUAUCAACUACAAAAACAUGAAGCAAUUCACAGUGGUGUGAAUCCUUCUGUUUGUAAGCAGUGUGGGAAAAAAACUUCACUUGCUGCAGUUCCCUAAAAACGCAUAGAAGAAUUCACACUGGUAAGAAGCUCUCUGUGUGGAAGCAAUGUAGGGAAAUCUUUAAUCGUUCCUUUUCUCCGAUAACACACUGGACAGAAAUCUUAUUUUUGCACACAAUGUAGAAGAGUUUUCACUGAUUUCAGUUCACAUCACUUCCAUGAUAGCAACCACAGUAAAGAGAAAUCCUGCAAAUGCAAAUGUUGUGGGAAAGCCUUUAUUAUUUCUACUUACCUUGAAGUGUAAGAAUGAAUACACACUGGAGAAAACCUUGUGUAUGGAAACAAUGCGGAAAAGUCUUCACUUGUUCGAGUUCUCUAAAAUCAUAUGGAAGAAGUUACACUGGUGAGAAUCCCUAUGUGUGUAAGCAGUAUGGAAAAACCUUCCCUUAUUCUUUUUCUCUUCUAAAAGAUGAAAUAACUAACACUAGAGAGAACACUUACGUAUGCAAAAAUUGGGAAAGCUUUCACUCAUUACAGUUCACUUCCCUUCCAUGAAAGGAUGUACAGUGGAGGAAACCUUAAAAUACAAGCGUUGUGGGAAAGGUUUUGCUUGUUCUGAUACCUUUAGCAAUGCAGCUAGCUACCUUUGAUUCACCCAUUCUUUGUUGGAAUCAUUACUUUGGUCCGUUCUUGUUUCCCUAUGUAGGUAAGUAGACAUUUAUUUGUACAUCUCUUCCCAGAAAAAAAAUCACCCAACACUGUGUGUUUUAGUUAUUUUCUAUUGCUGUGAAGAGACACCAUGAUGAAA